rnacentral:rRNA from 1 species
GCUCUGGGGGAACUACGACCGCAAGGCUGAAACUUGAAGGAAUUGACGGAAGGGCACACCAGGGGUGGAGCUUGUGGCUUAAUUUGAAUCA